UACGAAGGGUGCAAGCGUUACUCGGAAUUACUGGGCGUAAAGCGUGCGUAGGUGGUUUGUUAAGUCUGCUGUGAAAGCCCCGGGCUCAACCUGGGAAUGGCAGUGGAUACUGGCAAGCUAGAGUGCGGUAGAGGGGUGUGGAAUUCCCGGUGUAGCGGUGAAAUGCGUAGAGAUCGGGAGGAACACCUGUGGCGAAGGCGGCCCCCUGGGCCGGCCCUGACACUGAGACGCGAAGGCGUGGGGAGCGAACGGG
rnacentral:rRNA from 1 species